AUUGAACGCUGGCGGCAGGCCUAACACAUGCAAGUCGAGCGGAUGAAGGGAGCUUGCUCCUGGAUUCAGCGGCGGACGGGUGAGUAAUGCCUAAGAAUCUGCCUGGUAGUGGGGGAUAACGUCCGGAAACGGGCGCUAAUACCGCAUACGUCCUGAGGGAGAAAGUGGGGGAUCCUCGGACCUCACGCUAUCAGAUGAGCCUAGGUCGGAUUAGCUAGUUGGUGGGGUAAAGGCCUACCAAGGCGACGAUCCGUAACUGGUCUGAGAGGAUGAUCAGUCACACUGGAACUGAGACACGGUCCAGACUCCUACGGGAGGCAGCAGUGGGGAAUAUUGGACAAUGGGCGAAAGCCUGAUCCAGCCAUGCCGCGUGUGUGAAGAAGGUCUUCGGAUUGUAAAGCACUUUAAGUGGGGAGGAAGGGCAGUAAGUUAAUACCUUGCUGUUUUGACGUUACCAACAGAAUAAGCACCGGCUAACUUCGUG
rnacentral:rRNA from 1 species